rnacentral:tRNA from 1 species
GCCUGAGUGGCUCAGUUGGCAGAGCUUCUGACUUCAGCUCAGGUCAUGAUCUCGUGGUUGGUGAGUUCGAGCCCCACAUCUGGCU